AGUAGUUACUUGGCGUAGGGAAAAUUCAUAUAUAAUUGAAUAUAUCUUUAUUAAGGAUUCCAGAUUGAUAGACUCAGAAUAGAGCUAAGGAGGGAUAGAAUAGAGUUGACCAAUAUCAGGCUGAAACCCGUGCAUCAAAGAACCAAACAGUGCCUCUAAAGACUGAUGCUAUGGAGUUGCAGGCUUAAACAAGAGCCUCCAAGCCUGAUACCGGGUAGCCAAAGAGUGGAGCUAGCUGUUAUAACCGCCAAACAACGUAUAAUGUUGUGUGGCAGGCGUGAAACUGUGUUCGGCAUCCAAGCCUGAAAGCGAGGGUAGUGAGACUCAGACACCUAACUACAAGACUAUAACUAGUAACUAUAAGACUUCAACCAGGUAGCCACCACCGAUUGCCCUCAGUCAGGAGUCAGGAGUCAUAAAUAAGAAUUAGUUGACAGAGCCAGAGAGGGCAGGGUAGGCUUGUGACUCGGGUUGUUUUGUUUACUGACUUUGUUUACUUACUAGUUAGGUCUAUUAGGGGUAGUUGACAGCAACCUGUGGAAUUCUUUUGAAAGUAGAUGAGCCAUAGGUCAGGAGUGGAGCUAGUGGGACUCAGGCUUAAAGCAAAGGUAGUAAGCCUAACAAUCAGUAGUUACAGACUUAAGCAAGGGAGUGGAAAACUGAUAUUGGUACCGACCAGACUGAAGCUAUUGCUGCUAGGACUGGUGCCGGGCAGACUGAUGCUACUCCUAUCCAGAACCAACCCAGGGAGUCUAAGGAUGGAACUAAGUAGUAUAAGUAGAGGCAUGCGGGAGAGGAAGUAAGAAUUCCACUCGGUUGAGCUAGAGAGGUUCGCUAGUUUAGGGUGCUAAGGUAAGAGAAUCAUCUGUUCGAGGUAAAGUUUCAAGUGUAGUUUGUUUCUUUGGGAGCUAGGGUUGGCUUAGAGUCUCCUUUUUCAUCAUACAUAGAAUCAGUGGUUAAAAAGCGGUAAGCAGAAAGAAAAGGUGCUUUGAAACUAGAACAGAACCCAAGUUAGGUUAUGAUUGUGCGCUCUUGUGUCUAAGGCUUUCGCCACUAUAGUAUAGGAGUGGAGUAAAUAACUUCUUCAGCACCGUGAAGUGAAGUGGAGAGAGUAGAGGUGCUUGUUUGUAUUAAGAAGCCGUUCUUGAGUUCUUAUCGAGGAGAUCAUUAGUAGUGAUCAAGUAGUCUGCAGCAAGCAAUAUCUAAAGCAACGGAUCAGAGGCAGAAGUCAGAUAAGAAGCGAAUCAGGAUAUCAUGCAAGCGAAGCGGGUAAGGUAGUUGGGUAUAGAUUUAUUGGUUAGAAUAAACUGGAUCUGUAUCUUCAGUAAAAGAAGGAGCUAGUGCUUCUCAGACCGGAGCUACUGCUUUGCUUACAAGAACGAAACCACUGCUAAUGAGACUGAUGCUAUGGAGUGGCAGAACCAGUGCACCAACUAACAGACUUAUACUAGUGCUAGUGAGAAUCAAACCCGAGAGUGACAGAAUGUAGCUAGUAGGUAAAAGGAUGGAGCUAGUGCUGCUAAGCCUGGGAAUGCAGCUGCUAAGGGAUAGAGAUAGAAUGUAGCUAGUACAACUAAGAAUGCCAGUAGUCAUUAUCAGAAUUGACCUAGGGGUAAGUAGUUUCAGAAUUAACCUAGGGGUAAGUAGUUUCAGAAUUAACCUAGUGAGUAGCAGCCUUAAAGCACACAGCAUCAGAGUGCACCUUAGUAGUUACUAACACCGGCCGGGCUAGCUCCUCAUGUCAGUAGUCAAAGAAUGGAACGAGUGAGAGAAAGAAUCAAAGAAGCGCGAAAUCUUUAUCAAGAAAGCUAUCUAUAAGUGGCGGGAAAGGAAAUAGUAUUGGGUUGGGCGGUGAAAGUGCCUGUAGCAAAGCAGUCUGCCUAAUCAGAGUAAGAGAUAAAAGAAGCUGUACGAGCGAGUGUUGCAUCUCGGUUAAGGGCAGCAAGCAGUUAUGAAAGGUUCGUUUUUGUUCGGGCGCGGUACAAGACGUUGUGUUGUUUGCAGGUUAAUUACUUAUAUAUAUAUAUAUGGUGCAUUCCUUUGUUAUAUUGUUAUAUAUAUAUGGUGCAUUCCUUUGUUAUAUUGUUAUGGAGCAUGCAGUGAAUGAAUCAAUUGUAGUUUGAGUGUUGAGCAAGAAGGAUUCAAUUCAAGUUUUACUUCAGACAGGACAGAUCCAACAGAAGAUGCUUUUUGAACAAUUGCCUAGCCCGACGAACAUCCUGACUGCUUUCAUACUAAAACCCGUGCUGCUCCGUUAACACUUGUUCUUUUGUCGUUGCUUUGUUUGCUUUAAGAACUCUUAUGGGCACACUGUUCUAGAAGAGAAGAGAGAUGAUUUCCUGCGCUCGGUACCUAGGUAUGAUAGACUUAAGCAAUAGGCACAUCCACUAAUAAAAGAGAGUAAACAAAGAUCUCAGGGAGUGAGGGCGAUGCGGUGCAAGCAAUUGUCUAUGUUAAGGUAGUUCGGGAUUGAUGAAGAGGUUAAGCAGUUUUGUAUGAAAGGUGUGAGCGAAAAGUCCGGGUAUCGAGUCAGGGCAAAGUGAAUGACUUGAAUCGUGCGGUUGAAAGGUGUGGUUAAGUAUCAAGUUAGCGGGAAAUACAGAAAGUCCGGGUAGGUAGCCAAGAUAACAAGUAGAUCUAGUAGCUCGUAGCUCUGCAUCGGUGUUUGUUUAUUCAUUUCUAUCAUGAAACAACUCGGGGUGCUAAGGGUUGUUUUUGUUUAUAGAACUAUAGCAAGGGAACAAGCUUAGUAGAUUGAGCUCCGUUAGCCGAUGAAGACAGGACGGACUUGCUCUUGACUGAUAAUAACUCCGUAAGCUAUAUAAAAGCGAUAAAAAGCAAGCCGGAGCUAUUGAGUUCGCUAAGCUAAGAGAAAAGAGGUUGGCCCUGGAGAGUAUUUUGAGUGUUGUUACUUUCUCUGGAGAGUAUUUCUAUAGUUAUUACUAUUGCUUGUUCUGUCGUUAUUAUUUGUAAUCACUUAUAUAACGUUAAUUAUGACAACUAUUGCUUGUGUCCGUCUAUAGCUUGUUUGCGUCUGUUAUGAGUCUCGAGUCUCUUCUUUAUGUUCGACUUGAAUCUGUUUGUCGUGGAGAAUUGACUGAUUCCUCCCUAAUAGGUGAGAGGAAAGUUAACUCGAUAAUCAGCUGUUUGAAGAAAGUCUAUAAUUAGAGUAAACUGAUAGAGCAAAGCGAGCUUAGAGGUGCUGCUCCCGACGAAGAAAGGUGAAAGUACAAGGAACCUGCAAUCGAUUCUUCAAGAUAUAAGCAAUGCCAGAAAGGGAAGCUGUAAAGUCAGAAGUAGAGGCCAGAGUGUUGAGUAAGCCCUAAGUGUUGAGUAAGCCCUAAGUCAGUAGUUAGUAGGAAGCCUACCGAUUCUCCGCUGCUAGUAUAAGAUAUAGUACUAUUGGUUUCAUUCCUCUGUUACUAGGCUAGGAAGUCUGUUACUAGGCCUGCAUCUAGACUAGUGGAAUUCUGGAAUCGAAUGGGAUGAAUAAAUUGGAUCAAAUAUGAAAUAAUCCAGAAAAGUCGACAUCAUUUUCCAGUACAUACUCACUACACAAACAGUAGCAAAAAACAUAGGAUAACUUGGACUCUCCUUAUUAAGAAAACAGAUCAAACUAGGGAUGGAACUAUCUAUGUGCUCGGGAGCCGGGCCUGUAGCAAGUGGGUCUGUCUGUUCCUGUUCUAGGAGAAGAAUCUAGGUACCCUCUUUUAAGACUUACUUGUCUUAUAAACCUAUCUUGCUCUUGAAACUCACACUACACUUUCUUUCUUUCCCACUCCUGACACUUUAGACAACAACUGUAACAAAUACCGAUGAACAAAGGAUCUUAGAUGCUAUGAUAACUCGGCGCAAGUGAAAGUACUGGUUCGGUGCUUUAGUGGUGAGUGACUUCUUGAUAAUAAGAAUAGAGUUUACCGGUACCGGGUAGUUAUAGACUUACUGUUGCUGUUGUUUCUUAUGAUUGAAAUAGUAGCAGAAAGAGAAUCCAAAGUAGAAAGAUCAUCAGCCGGGGGUGAAGAAGAGAUUGAGGUUAAGUCGUCAGCAGAAGAAUUGAGAGUUAAGGCUUUAACCGCGGAGUUGGGGCAAUCAUCUAGUAGCAACAGUAGGAGUGCUAUUCUUUACCACAGCCGGGUUUGAUGCGGUAAGUAAAGGAAAUCUCCGUUUAGGUCGGGGUAGAAGAGAGCUUUGAAGCGAGGUGUACUAAUGAAGGUGUAGUUAGCAGAGGCAAUUGACAAGCGGCAGUCCGGGCAAUGAGGAAAUGCAGCAAGUAGUAGUUCAAUUGUAAUAGAAAGUAACGAGGGUUGGAUAAGGUCCGAGGAGACAGUUGAGUUCUUGUGAGCUGAGCAACUGUAGGAGUUACAAAGAAGAGAGAAUAAAUAGUGGAAAGAUAAAAGAAUCAUAGGAAGGGGAAGGGGAGUUGAUAGUUGGAAUUCCUAACCUAAACUGACUUUAGGGGCCUCUGCCUGGAAUUCAUUGAACUCUUUCACUUCGUACUGGGGUUGGGCAAGGUAGAGAGCAAUUCCGAAGUUACAAGAGAAGAAAAAGAAUCACCUGUGCCAGUUCUCAAGUGAGCUGCAGUGAGAGUUUAGGUUGGAAAUGAAUAAAGUCAAGGCUUUGUUUGAUGCGAGGGUAGUUGUUGAAGUCAGUUACUAGACCACCGAUUGACCGAGAGACUAGAGAGUCAGCCCCUAGUCUGUUAGUAGGAGUCAGUAAGCCUACCUCAAUUCUGUAAUUCUAGUUUGCCGGAAGGGUCGGGUCUCAUAAGAAAGAAAGAAAGAAAUCCUCUGUAGGCAGGCAAUGGAAGGGCUUAAUCUUAAUCAUGAGCUAGGUAUUCUAGUUCUAUUACUGGAUGCGCCAAGUAAUGGAUAGACAAGCAAGUCAGAAUGCAACUUCGGUAAGCAUAAACAGAAUCCUAGGCUUUAGCUCUAAGGUCAGAAGAAGGGGAUUGAGCUCUGUAUCAUAGAAAGAAGUAGCUAACCCUACCAUGUGCUCUCUCUUUCAAGUCAGAAUGAAACUAAGUCGACUCAGACUGAUUCUAUGUUGGCUGGUCUAGAACAGUGCCUAUUGGAAUGAGACUAGUGGUACUAAUACUUAAAGCACCGAUAAGCGGACUCAGAAUGAAACUCCCCAGGCUAGGAAUACGGACCAGGCUAGGAAUAAGGAAUGGAAGAAUGAACCAAGGCAGACUACUUAUUAGGUCUAAGAAUGGAACUAAGGUACGAGAUAGCACAUUCCUAUUAUUUAUAGCAAAUAGUGACGACCACAGGUAUCUGUUGCCAGAGUUAGAGGAUAAGACGGAGCCGAGCCAGUAGUUGUUAGAGGGAAAAGAUGCUAUGUGCUAGUUAAGAGAGAAAAGAGCAAGAGUGAAGUCAAUAGGUAACAGCUGCAGUGCCGGGGUUGAUGAGUGACUGAGUUGGGGAAAUCAUCUAGUAGUUUCAUCCCUUGUUUAGUCUGCAAGUCUGGUUUCGGGUUCCAGUCCAGUAGUAUACGCUUGGUUAUCUGUGUCUUGGAUGUUGCCAGAGGUGGAUGAGCAAUCAUUUGUAGCCUUAGUCUAGUAGCAAGAGUUGGAUUAGCCUCAUGAAGGUAGAAGAGAUGCUAUAGUCCAGAGGAUAGGUAGGGAAGGCAGACAAUAAGAAUGGAAUGGGAAGAUCUGAGAAAAACAAUCAAUGAUCAAUAUUAAAUAAAGCAGAAAACUAGAGAUCUUUCUUAUAUACCAACUCAGUACACAAACAGUAUAGGAAACCGUACUAUAUGAUAUAUUCUCUUUAUAUAUGAAACCAGAAUUGGCUUGGUCCCCCGCAUCUACAUCUAGUAAUUGAACUCAGUAGUAGUUGUCUUAGAGCGGGGUCGGCGAGAAAGGAGUUUUUGAAAGACGGGUCCGGGUAAGUAAAGGUAAUCGGCGGGCACCGCAUCAGGCUCAGUAUACCUAGCUAAAGUCUCGCUGGCAAUGGUUUGAGUCUAUCACUCCCUUGUUUAAGUCUGGUUGUUGCCCGGUUAAGGCUUGAUGUUCACUGUUUCAGGCACCAAGCAACUAAGUAAGACGUUGGGCGGCCUUAGACUGAUUAGUUCUAUUCUGUAAUUCCGACUUAUUAGUCUGUCUCUGACUUUCCGACUCCUGAGUGCAGAAUGAAGAGAGAAAGAAUGCAUUGAGAAACCGGAGAGUGAGUUGUUGCUUGGCCCCGGGAUUUUAGAUAGCCAAUAUAGACUUUCCGUACUUAUUGCUUAGCUUCCCUUGCAGACCUAAACUCUGGCUUGCUCCUCUGGCUUGCUCCUCUGUCAACUAAUACAGAUGCAACUUCACUACCGGGAAUUAGCAAAAGUAGAAACCGACUUGCAUUAUAUCUUAUAUAUAAGAGAACAGAAGAGCUCCGAUCCCACUCCGAUCCUGUAGUUUCUUCUGCUUCAAAGCCGAUACUUUCUUAUUCCUCGAAUAGUCUCUUUUCACUCCAAUUCAUUGAACCCGACAAGACACUCACUGCUUCCAUUCCCCAACUCCCCAGCUGAAGUCUGCCCAGCAUCGGUUGAAGGCUUGGAGUUAAUAGCUAUAGCCUGUAACACCCUAGUUGAAGCCUUAGUACCAUUAGCUGCAUUCUCUGUGGACCUACUUUAAGUCUGUGACUCAUGAGUUUGAUUCUGAUCUUAGUCAUAUUGGGUUUCUGGUCAUAAGGAAUAGUAUUUGUAUAGGACUUCUGGUCAUAGAGAAGAAUAUACCUUAUUCGGCUUUCUGGUCAUAGGGAAGAUAGCUAAGGAAUUAACUAAAUGAGGAGUUCUGGUCAUACUGGGUUUCAUUCUGAUUGUUAGUGGUUUAGUUCUUUAACUACUGGGGCUCAGUCUUACACUCGCUUGUGUCAGUCUUAGUAGUUACAUACCAAUACCUACCAAUACCUAGCAGCAACCGAAUCAAUCUUACUGGGCACCGCAUAAGUCCGAGCAGCACUAAGACCUUAGCUAUAUAACAACAGCCUGCCCAGCUACAUACUAAUACUUAGCAGACACCGCUCCAUUCCCCAACUCCCCAGCGUCAGUCUUAGUAGAAAGCAAUCAAGCCUGUCACUCACUAGCUCUACUCCUCGACCACCCGGUUGUAUUCUAUCACUUAGCAGCUCCAUUCUAAACACCCUAGCCUGGCAUCCAAUACUAGCUACCACUGAUUUGAGUCUUAGUACCACUGUUUGAAGUCUGCUCCCACGGGGGCCAACUUCCAUUCUGAUAGGUGUGAGUUUGAUUCUUAGUAAUAGUAGCGGGGUCUUGCUAGCACUGGCUUAAGUCUUGGAUUAACCGCUUCCAUUCUGGUUGUUACUGCUUUGGUUCUGUAGCUGACUAGCUCAAUUCUGAGUGACACUGGUUUGGUUCUCACUGCCACUAAGGUAAGGCUUGAUGGCACUGGCUUGAGUCUUUAACUACCUCGUUUAAGUCUUAGCUGCACCGGUGGGAGGCUUGGAAGCACUACUUUGAUUCCUGGAUCCACUGCUUUGGUUCUAUCACUUAGCAGCAUCAGUCCCAUACUACAACACCCCAGCUUCAGUCUUACACUCAAUAGCUACAUUCCGAGCCUACCUACCAUACCAUCAAGCUGAGCAACACCAGUAUAAGUCUGCCCAGCUACAUACUCAUACUUAGCAGCACCAGUACUAGACCUUAGCGACCUUGUUUAAGACCUUAGCUACAUAGCUUCAUUCUAUCCCUUAGCUACCCCGAACACAGGAACAGACCUACUUGCUACAGGCUCGGUUGGGAAUGCAGGGGCCAAGCAACUACUAACGUUGCGCGGCAGGGCCGCUCCACUCUUCGGGCAAGGUAAGAAUUGGUAAUAUGAGUUUCAGUCUGAGCGGGUUCCCCUACAGUCUAGGUCUUACUCCGGACAGGCUCUAGUACCGGCGGGGUUAGGCUGAGUCUGAUACAACUGAGCUACAGGCUUUGAUUCCACAGCUACAGGCUUUGACCCCGGAGUGCAAGGCGGCAAUUGGUGAGCUACAGGCUGAGGGCACUGCUUUGAGUCCGAGUCACUACAUUACUGUUUCAUCCUGAUACUGCUUAGGCACAUUCUGGUUAGCACUAGCAGCAGCCUAAGUAUACCCUAGCAGCAGCCUAAGUAUACCCAGAGCCAUUCCCUAACUCCCUAGAGCCAAUACCUACUAGCUCCAGUCAGCAGGCACCGUACUAGACCUUAACUACCCGGCAACAGCCUGCAACUACCCCAAAUAUGCCUGUAACACCCAAGGGCCAGGCCGAGUAUACCCAACAGCAGCCUUAAACUACACAGAGCUACAGGCUUACACCGACCAGUUCGAUUCUAUCUCUACUUAGCUGCAUUCCAAGCACCACUAGUAUCAGCCUAGCCAGCACUGGUUUCAGUCUUAGCAUCACUAGCCCCAUUCUGAGUCUUACUGGUUUCAUGCUUUCCAUUUCGAGUUUCAUUCCUGGUCAUGCUAGGUUCAUUCUGUUACUACUGGAGCUCAAUUCUGAGUGUUAUACCUGUAAUAUAGCAAUACCCCAGCUUCAUUCUCGCACUCCUGAAGUUCAUUCUGCUUAAUAGUACUUGCCCCGCUCCCUUCCUAGCAGAUCAAUUGCACUGUAAACCCUACCCGUAAUCUUUAGUUUUAGCACCAGACUCUACAUCUACUGUUGGAUUUAUAUCAGACCCGCUUGCCACCUCUCCUUACUUAGAGCCAAUCACUUCUCUUGCAGACUUAGAGAAAUAAGGUUGCUACAGGACUUUCACUAGCUUGCAACUCCCUCGCUCGUAGACCUCAAUCCACUCACUUACCGCGGAAGUGCUAAUAGGAAUUGGAGAAUGGAAUUGACUACUUUUAGGAUGGAAUUGCAGAAUGAAGAGAAGAGCAACCAAGCUACUACGUCUGGAUCUGUAUCAUAAGCCUAAGAAGUCUCUUCAGCAGGAGAAUAAGAAAUAAGUAUUAGGGUUAUAAGCGGGAUCUCAGGUCAGUAAGCAGCUCGCGGGAAGUAUACUAUAAGUCCUGAAGUAAGUAGGUCAAGAGUUUCAAUGCUAGAUUACAUAAGCAUAAGAAGUAUUUGAAGCGGAAGAUGGAAAUGUAGUAUGAGUAAGCAAUAAGCGAAGCAGUAAGUAAAGGAGAGUGUCCAAGAUCUUAAACUCAAGCAGUAUCUUUAUAAGUGCGCUAAUGGUAAUGAGUUGCUGAAAUGCCAGUUUGACUCGGUGCAAGAGAAGAGUCAAAGUCCAGAACUCUACUCUAUGACAAGGAAGGUGCUACAUCCGGACUAUAAGCCACAAGUUUCGUUUUUUGCUCCCCAAUGGAAUCCAUCGAGCAAGUAUCGCCUGGUUUGUUUUGUUUCUAUUUUCACUUAUUCUGUUCCUUCUAAUUCCCCAGCUUAUGAUCGUUAUUAAGAUCUUGAAUCUAUUCUUCUCCAUGAAACAGGACUUGCUUAUAACUCAUUAAACCAUAUUCUAUUAGCUUACGAAUAAGGAAUUGCAGAAGUCAGAAUUCCACUACCAAUACGAAUAUGACUCCUAUAGAAUCAAACUCGAAAUAGUCAGGCAAUUAGGAAUAGGAAAUGGAACCAAUACUGACAAUGAUUGACUAUCUGCCUAAUCAGACUAAAACACUCGCCUAGUAAUUCCACACUGCUGGAACCGAUCGAAUGAACUAUAUUAUAUAUAAGUACUACUUGGAAUCCAACAAGGAAUACAGGAUUUCACUAUGAGUUAUCAGGCUUUCAGCACCUUGCAACCAAUGCUUCGUAUACUUUCACUCGAAACUCACUCACUGCUUUGAGGCUGCCAUUCCUUUAUCUACUCUUUGAUUUGCUUUUUUCAUUCUAACUAUCUGUCUUACUGCCUUAGACUCCUUUCUGACACUCCUUUCUUUGUCAGUGAAGAUUGCCCGCUUGCACUUUCACAAGCAAUACGACUCUACCUGUCAUUCAAUCAACGUAUACUACCUGCUACUACUACUGGUACAAACCCAUAAUCCAAAUAAUGCAAAUGGAAACUCGGAAUUGCAAUAAGUCUGCCUCUACGUGCUUGCAACCUAUAACUAGUGAGUGCUUCUCAGUGUAACUAGUGCUUCUCGGGCUUUCACAGCUAAUGGAUAGUGCUUCUUUCACUUUCACUAACAGGGAAAUCCACUACUCACUCUAAACCUUACCUUUGCUCCUCAACUCCUUGAUUCAAUGCCUAUGCCCCCGGAUGGAUACUUACUUAACUAACAGGGAAAUCCACUACCUACCUCGAAGCUUACCUUCUUUUCUUUGACUUUUCAUAAUACUAAUCAGAAUCAAUACACAACAAAUAAGGAAUUAAUGACUUAUCUAGCUAGUAAGGCUAUAACUACUGCUUCUAGGAAUCAAUACAGUAAUCGAGAAUCUCACUAAUAACAAUGAGACCUUAUCCAAUAACGCUCAUACUUAUGCUCUAAACGGACUUUCUCGACCUAGCAUCUAGGGAUUGAAGAAGUCACAAUCAAAUCAGCAAACUAGAAUUCCGCUAGGACUAAGGAAUCAAACAAGUCAAAUAGAAUAAGUAGGAUCUAUGGGCUACUACACCAACAACAACGGCUUUCGCAAAGGCUGUAACUACGGAAUCCAAAGCUGUCCUGUCUUUCCCGUCUCUGACUCUUUUGUUCGAGAGUGAGCCUGCCAUAACUUUCUCUUAUUCUGAAGUAACUAGCCUCCCCUAGCACUGCUUCCUCACAGUCCCAUUAUACUGUUGCAAACUAACAAGCUACCCCCAAACUAAAUACUGUAUCUUAUUAGAAUAAAGAAUAGAGAACCGCUGUUAAUCGUAAUAGAACUGGUGUGAACCCUAUAUAGGCCUAACCUAAUUCCCCCCAAUACCGAUACACUGACAACAAGAAUGACCCUACUGAUAGGGAAUACGAAUACUACUAGGGAAUAUCAAUACUGCCAUACAACUCAUACGGAUAAGACUGUGACUUCUAAUAGAAAGAGUGAAGCAAGUACUUCUCUUAAUGAACCAGGAAAUGGAAAGAAUUGCACUAGGGCGUACAAGACCGAAGCAAGGAAUAAGUAAUUGAACUCCUAAGUAGAAGAAGAAAUACGCGUAUAAGUAAUAAGUAGCGGCUUUGAACUAAUGCUACCAAGACCUGAAAUCACUACCGGAAAGAGUUGACCAAUACCUAAUACGUAAGAGAGUGGAGCUACUUAUUAUCAGAUUGAACUUGGAACUAGGACUUGACUGCUAUAGAGAGCUGCUUUCUAGGCGGUCCGGACCCUUGCUUACUUGCUUUGAAACUCACAUAGCACUAUAAGCUAAUAAGGAUUGAGUCGAUGCUACCAGGGCUUCCACCAAUGCCAACAAGACCUUAAUCUAUAGCUUAGGAUCGGACAACUACUGACAAGGCUGAAAACCAAACUUCCUAUUGGAAGAAAACCAAUGCCUAUGGGACUUUCACUCCUGCCAGCUGCUUUGCUGCCCUCGCUUUGUGGUAUCUCGGUAUGUUUAUACUGCCUAUUAGCUUGAAUUUACUUGAUUCCAACCUGUGGUACUACUACUAUUUCCAAUAAUGCAACUAUCAACUCAAGGGAAUGGAGCAACUGUUGAAAGGAACCGAACGACUCUACGGCUUAUGAGAAUUCACUAGUAUCCGAUUAGAUUGAAAAAAGCAACUGGCUGGGAAACCAACUACUUACUUCAAUACCGUAUCUUGUAAUAAAGAAGCCAACUACUAGGAAUAAGAAUGGACAGAAUUAGGACUUACUCCUUAAGGAACAGUUAGGAUAUGCUUCAUAAAAGCAAACAAAGAUACAAAAAGAAAAUCAUAGAGCAUAAGAGUGAAAAAGAAUAGAAUGGAGCUAUCUACAAGUAUAAUAAAGUAACCUGAUUGCUUCUUUAAAAGUGCAAUAUGGCGUGUGGUUAGCUUUAGCUGGCUGUUUUCUCUGGCUCUAUGCUGACAACUGGCUUUAAGAACGAAUAGGCGCGCCCCUUCCAAAAGCUUCUUUCUCUCUUCCGGCAUAAUCAUCUUUAUCAGCAUCCAACACGCUAUAGUAUGAUCUUUGUGCCCUUACUUCCUCUGCGCGGUGUACAAAAGUGGAGUUCUACUUGGAUCUUGUAGAAAGAAUGGAAUGAUUACAUUAAGCCGAGAUAAAUGAGGAGAAGAAGCGCUAGGAGUAGAGAGUUGACCGCUGUUCGUUGGUAUUCAUGGCGUCUACAGAAGCUUCGGUUGCUCUGUCAUACCUAGCUCCCUAGGAAGCAGUAAGGAGUGAGAGCUACCGAGGAAGUAGUAAGGAGUGAGUUCCUCAGUCCACAACAAGUAUAUGAAGGGGCUUCCUUUCGUAUGUCGCUUUUUCUUUCCAUUCAUUAAUCAAGAAAAGUGUCUAUUACUCGUAAAGGAAUAUUGCUAGGUGAAUUCUCAUAUAUUGAGUCUCCAAUUCUCAUAUAUUGAGUCCCCAAUUCUCAUAUAUUGAGUCUCAGUAUUCGAAAAGGAAGGAAUGUUGUUAGGUUCAUUAUCUUCUAUUGAGUUCUUCGUUUUCUCACUACGGAAUGAUAGCUAAAAUCGAGAAAAAGGGGCAUUUCCGUAAGACUUCUUUUCUGUUUUUCGGCGAAGCCUUUCUCUUUCUUUUUGGCUACGCUUCUCUCUUUCUUUUUGGCUACGCUUCUCUCUUUCUUUUUGAUGCGCUCACUUCUCUUUCUCUUUCUUCUAUACUGAGUCUUGACCUUCUUUAAUAACUUACGAAGCUUUCUCACAAGUUUCAUCAAACAAAGUAAAGGUAGGGCGUUCGGAUACCCUAAACAACAAGCAAGUAUUAGAGCAGCAGUCGGACUCGUUGCAAUAAAAGGUAGUUUCAUUAGAGCAGCAGUCGGACUCGUUGCAAUAAGAAAGGUAGUUUCAUGUGUUUAGCAGAGAUAAUGUAGCACGUAUAAGCUUCUAGAGUAGGUAGUUUUCUAAGGCUUAAUCUUAAUGCUUGCCGGAGAUGGUUGUUCUAUAGCCCUGAGGAAAAAGACAUUACCCUAGGAUUUAAUAGAGAGCGCCUUUUGUUUCCUCUGAAAUACCCAAGAAAUGAGGCGUAAGUAUUUCGCACUGGGGAGGCCUUCGCUCUGUUGGGACGAGCUGGUAUAGGUGUACAGUCACUUACAUCGGUGAAAACAAAGCGAUGCCCGCUGUCCUGAGUCUUGGAUACGAUAAAGAAAGCCUGUGUCUUCAAGCACAACCCGCACUUAUUCAAAGCUCUAUCCACACUUUGUAAAUCAUGGAUUGCUUUGGCUAUUGGAGGGGUUUGCCUAUAUAUCCUAUCCUUAAAGGUGCGACAUUGACUACAUCUACAAAUGUAUGGAUCUGGGACUUCCCACCAAGAUAUACACUCCAAUCCUAAUUGACUUGUCAGGGAAGUAGCAUUGCUUUUUCUUUUCUUUAUGUUGUGUUGAAGCAUUUGGUACCAAAAGAAGCACGGAUUUAUUCAAUGAUAUUAUCCCAACUAUCAAUCCAAUUACAGCCAGUAAAUUCGUUAAUCAAUUGACUAUCUAAGACUCCGUUAAAGCGCAACUACAUGUAUUGCGAUUGGGAAUUAAAGAUAGGUUCAUUUCAUAUAAGAAAACAACUGAUGAAACAGCCAAUCUUAAUUCCGUUCUAGGAGCGGAGGCAGAAGAUAACUUGAGUACUUGCUUUGAGUCGAGGUGUAAAGAAAACGAGUCUCGUGAGGCGGUAUUAUACUCUUAGACUCCUCUGAACAAUAAAGCCCAUUUUUCUACAGGGAAGCGGGUUUACGAGAUAGCAUGUCUAGUUUGAUUGACAGAACACUCCAAAUACUCCUAUUUAGAAAGCAAACAAAUUAUGCCCCCCGUAUAAGGUUCUCCGCCGCUUCUCACUGUAUCGCUCCACUCCAGCCCAGCCAUAGAUUAAUCUCUACUCUGCGCUCUCUUGCCCAUUUUCUUUUGAUCAAAGCUUUGGAAAGAAUUCCACUUCGUUGUGUUUUUCUUUUCUCUUUAUUUGUUAUAAGCUAGCUUUUCUCUUUAUUUGUUAUAAGCUAGAAAGAUUCAGUGCUGCACCGAUCGAAGCCCUUCUUUCAAUGGAAGAGAUAUAGAUUCGAGCCGCUAACCAUCUCAUACUUUCCUUCCCCUCCACCACCAUCUUAAUCUUUAAGAGUGAGUUAAGUAAAUCGGUAUCAACACCUACUUACAUUUAUUCUUGAUUAUUAUUAUUAGCGGCAUGAAGCCCUUUUUCUUGCAUCACAGCUUUUACUUAUUAAUCCUAUCACUGGCGGAAGAACGUAAACAAUCUCCCUAGGGUUGUUGCAUAUGAUCUUUACUACCGUUCGUUCGAGUCUCUCUCUAAAGUCUUGGUUAGCGGGUACCAUAGUACUACCUAAUGUUGCAAGGGGUGUGGGCUCGGUGGAUUUCUGACUUUGCCCUGUACCCUUCGAUCCUUUUCUCCUAUUGACUAACUAUAACCCUAUCUUUUCUCAGUGGCGAUUUCAAGGGUUUAUCUAUACUUAUCUUUCAGGAGAUAUUGUGGAAUCAAAAAGGAGCUGCCAAGGAGAGGCGGUGUCCUACCUUCUCUAUGCGGAUGAUCUCAUGGUGUUCGUAAGAGCCAACACCAAACCUGCGAAAAACAAACCUAUAAGCUAUUUGGAUUAAGUUCGAUAAAAUACCGGGCAUACCCAUGAAAAGCAAAGUGGUAAAUGCCAACUAUUAUUCUCUUAAAAGUGAGAAAUGCCAACUAUUAUUAUCGGGAUCGUGUUAUAAUGACUGACUCGGUAAACUAACCUACAUCCUCAAUAUUAGAAACUAACCGACGGGUUCUAUACCUAUCCUUUACCUCGGGCUGCCACUUUCUAUUGGACAUCUAUCAGCUGCUAUGUGAGAACAGAACCACUAAUCCCCAAAAUACAUAAGCGAUUGGAGAGUAUCCAUCUCUCUUACGCGGGUAGAUCGGAACUGCGAAAAUCCAUUCGUUCUUAAUGCCCCCCUUUCAUGUUUUUCUGGACCGCGGCCUUUCCGCUGCCCAUCUCGGUUAUUCAACACAUCAAAGCCUUAUGCAGAGAUUUCAUUUACGCUUUUGAAAGGAUACCACGCAAAAAGGAUCCACACAGUAGCUUGGGACCAUAUUGGAUUUGCAAACCCUUUAAUAAGGGGUUUUGUCUAGGUAUCAGGAAAAUCUUAGAUUUCAAACUAGAAUUCAUGAUUCAAUUGUGUUUACAGGUUGUUUGCUCCUAGUUGUUUUGGAACUGGUGCAUUAGCUGUAAACUAAUUACUUAAGGGCAAAGGAAUUGUGAUAACUUGAAUCCAAGUAAAGGCUAUAGGCUAUAAGUAAGUUGGCGCUCCAUCCUGAAAGACUAUAACGAAUGCCAAAAGAUGCAUUCUCCUUGAAGUUGGUAAGAAUAGUGCUGCUAUGUUUUGGUGGGGUACGUGGUCAUCAAAAGGUCACUUGAUUGACGUGUAUGGUUUGAAGCCACCGCUAUUACUGGUAUCCCCGCUCAUGCCUCUAUAGCUUACGUUUGGGCUAUAGAUAGUUUGCUGGGCAAGGUUUGCCUAGAUUUCUCCUUCCAUUGCAGCUGAUGUAAAAGACGUCCUCCCUACUGAGGGAAGUAGAUACAACUAUUUGGAAGCCAUGGGCCUAGGGCAUUUUCUCUUUUCAAACUGCUUGGAACUUCAUUAGAAGCAAGUCGAAGCCUGGGAUAAACUCAAUAGGAAGCUACAGGAAAGCUGCUGUACAAUCACUAAUUCAAUCUUAAGGUAAACCCCCAUCUUUAUAAACUAUACUAGAAACUUACCUUCGAGCAGAAAAGAAAGUAUGAUGAUUCCUGUUUAGACAUCAAUUGCUUCCUUUACACGUGCAGAUUAAUUGAACUGUAAACAACCUUCUUUCCUGAUUGAUGCUGAGUAAAGCAGUAACUCCGUAAGCAUUAAACAAAAGACAAAGAAUUGCACUAACAAAACAAAGGAUACUUAAUCAAACAAACUGUUAUAAAUGAAUAAAGAAUUGCACUAGAAAGUAUGACCAGCUACUCUUAUACUCUAUUAUAGUUCUCCCUCUCGCCAAACCUGUAUGUCCUCAGCCAACCCAUUCCGAGAAUUCGAUAAUAAUCAUUCCAUUAAAAAGUAUUAGUUUACCCCCAUAUCGCCAACACUACGUUGCGCCCCACAAAUAAAGGACAAAGUCAACCAGAGAAGAAGCCGAGCCGAGGUGUAACUCGCUAAGUGAAUUAGUUUGAUCCUAGUUGGCGCCGAGAGAAGAUGCUGGGCUAGGAAAUGUGGUUUCUGUUCCACUGUUCAUGGCGUUAGUCUGGCCAGUAUUAAUAACAAGUCCAUAUGAUUUCAUAUGUAGGUGCUGUAGUUCCAAGUCGAGUAAAGGCAAUCAGGCAGGCAAUAAUAAGGAGUCUAUAACCGAAGGUAAACAAAUCCCACUCUCAAUCCUAAGUGUAAGCCUAAAACCAUCAAUCAGGCAGGAUCAGUUACAGAGGAUGCAGGAUCUAAGCAGUGAAAAGUCUGCUGCAAGUGGGCUAGUUACAGUUGUUGUCUACUCUUUGCUAGUUACAGUUGCGUGUACUCUUUCUUUCCUUGCAGACCUAAACUCUGGCUCAUCUCCACUAGACCUCUGUCAACUAAGUAAGUAAACCAGCCUAGCCUGUAGUUUAUGAGUGGAAUACCGAUUAGCCAGCUGGUUCGACAAGGGAAGCAAUGGAAACGGAAGUCAAGUAAGGGUUUACAAGAUAUGAGAAUUCUAUGGUUGAAACUUUGAUGAUUCAUCGACUGUGGAUGAAAGACCAUACCCGUAGACAAAGUCAUUCUAUGCUUAGCGAAGUGCUCGCUCUCAUAGCGGAUUAUAUUCUGCCAAAGCGAAAAACACAAUCCCCGUUAGCACCCGCUCACUCAAGCUCAAGUAAGGACAUUUUCGGAUAUUCUACAGGGCGUAACAGAAGGAUACUUCGGGACAUAAGGAGACUCAUCUUCAUGAAUUGCACUUUCGCCAACAACAAGAUACAACACAAGAACAGCUUAUUCUCAAUAAACAAAAACAGCUCCUUUUCUCAAUAAACAAAAACAGCUCCUUUUCUCAAUAAACAAAUCAUUCUUAAUUGCACUUUUAGGGCAUGUUCCACAAGAACCGGAAUGGAGUAGCUCCACUUUAUAGAGUCUUCUUACCCCGGCAAGACUUAUUAGUGGCGGCAGUCAGCUGUUACGUACCUUAUAUCUAUUAGUUGAGUUAGGACGUGAGCAGCAAGAUCUGAGGCUGUGUAUUCAAUAGUUAAUUCCUUAAUUUGACAACAGCAACCGGGUGUUUCAUUAUAGGCUAGAGGCUCAUUGAGUGGCAUUACCGGGUGUUUCAUUAUAGGCUAGAGGCUCUUUUAGGUCUCGUCUAUCCAUUGCUUGGCCGGGAUAAGGAGUGUUUACCAUACUUUCAUUCCACUGCUUCCAUAGCUUACUCGCCUAAUCCUUAUGAGGCUUCUGAUGUGGCAUAUGAUCUUACUGCAAUACAAUAACUUCUCUACACGACCGACUUUUUCCAAUCACCUGCACCUCCUUCACCUCCUUAUACUUAAAGACUAGCACCUCACUCUACUUGUUUACGAUUCAGACAGGCGACGAAGACGACGAAAACCAGAUAGGAAUGUUACAGAGCAACUUAUCUCUCUCGCCCGGGCACCUCUUAUUCUUCUUACUCUGAUUACCGCGUUCUAUACAAAUUAGAAACAGUAGAGCUCCAUCUGAGGCUUCUUUACUUUAGACUUUGUCUUAUCCAGCUUUUGCCUCUGUUCCUAUAUACUUUACCGCUUCAUGAACCCCCCUUUUCUCUUUCUUUUUGUCUUAUAGUUUACUCAAGGAGCUCUGCGAUCGUAUAUCAAGUUAACUCAUCUUAUGUGGAAUCUCUUAUCAUUGAAACAAAGAAAGGGCCCAUCUAAGGAAUUGUAACCUAUAAUCUGACCUCACCUGUUCCCUUGAGAUACCAGAUACUUGACUUUCUACCCUUCAUUGCUGGAUAAGAUCCACUGGUUGUUCUUCCGCCUCUGCCGUUGCGUAACUCCCUAAAACACUUGCUCACUCUGUGAAACCUCAAACAAUGCACUUUUCAUGAACUCGUGUUAGGAGAGUUAACUCGUUGUUUAAGGCCUUGAAACCCCCUUUCCUGUUGACAGUGGUGUUGUCGGUUCAAUGAUUCAAGGAAGAGGUGGAUUUACAUGGAUCUAUGCCAAGUGCUCAAUAAGGAUCUAUGCCAAGUGCUCAAUAAGAGAGAUAUGCAACUCGAACAGAACCUAUCUCACGGACUGAACAUUAACAAGCAUCCGACCAAACCUAUGCUUUAAGUAAGGAAUGAAUUGAAUCUCACUAACUCUCAUAUAAGCAAGUAAAAGAAUGAAUGGAAUCCUAUCAUAUAAGUAUGGAUUUUCAUCAUUUCAUCUCACUGGCAUAGUGUAUACUAGAUGAUUUUCCAUAACCUAAUUCUUUGGCUAUAGCUAUCAUAAUCUACUUCAUUAUAGUGGUAUAGGGCCCUUACUAUAAUUUCUGCCAAUAUAAUAAGUAAGGGCAGAGCAGAGUUUUGACUUGUGCUUCUAUAUGUGUCCACGCUCUCUUCUUUUCUUUAGAGUCAAGAGUAGGAAUCAUAGAAAAAUAAUACUAUCAAACUCAAACCACUAGAUUGAUUUUUUCCUUUGAAGCUGAUUCUCUUCUCGACGCAGGAGAUUCGUGAACAACCCCAUCGUUGAGCCUAGCAGUUUAAGCCUUUAACCAGGCACGAGUUACUUACUUUCCUUUCGAAUCUGGUUCACGGGCAGGGUUCACUUAGCCCCCACCCCAGUCAUUCUUCACCCUGUUCGUAUACCUCAUUAAAGUAUUCCUAUGUCUGCAGAGAAGCAAAUACUAUUAGAGAAGGACAGCCUAUAGUCUCCAACAGACACUGCUGUAUCUUGCUCUGGGUCAUUCAUGUCAGUGGUUUGAAUUGAUCUCUUGCCGCUGCUAGAACGACUGGGCUCUUCUAAUGAUUGUAUUUCUUAACCCCUAAUAUAAGUGCGGAAUUUGGUGCUCUCCUUUCCUUGGGCUUGUUCUCAUCAGUUUGAUUCAUUUCUGCCUUUCUCCUCUUCUUCCGCCCACCGAUCGACCGACUCUCCAGUGUGUUCUUUUUCCCAAUAAAUGAAAUCUUCUCGAAAAGGCGGCUUUUGUAGCUUGCCUAGAAGCCCAGUGGAGCUCAAUUUGGUAUGAUCAUUACUAGAGCUUGGGAGAAAUCCGUUCAUAGAUGGAGGAAUGCAACUGAAGUGAAUGGUGUCUCUUCAGAAACCCCCGAGCCCUUUCUUUCCGUUUGGUUCGCAGCUCCGUCACCUGUGUUUCCCUGGAGCAGCGCUUCUUUCCGGUGCUCCGAUGCUCUCGGCUUUGGUAUGGUUCCUCUUUAAUACUUAACAAAUUGCAUGAAUUAUCUGCCUUGCCUUAUUUCUAGCUGUUGAAUGGAGUAAUCUGGGAAGGGAUCUUUUGCCAAUUCCUGUUAGUGUAGCGAAGCCUUCCAAUAUGGGGCAUACGAGUCAGGGGAUAAACGCUUCAUUAGCACUUUCGGCUUUCUCCUUUCUUUGGUUACUACGGAUUCACUUCUUUCGUAGGGCGGUAGCAAAGGCAGAAUAGUCGUACCCGGGAAUCCACUUCCUUGGCUUGAUAGGAAACCUAUCGACCUUUCGGCUUUCUAGUACAACAUCCACUCGUUCUUCACUCGCUAGGGAAGAGAUCGAUUACUCGCUUAGAUAUCGCUACUCUAGUCUGAGUAGGAGUUCCCAUCCAUAAUCUCCGUGGAGGCCUCGUUUUACCUUCCAAUUACGGUUGAUCCUUCGGAAAGAACUAUACUUCACUUUCCUCCAUUAGAUUCGGCAACAAAGGACGAGAUUCCCAUAGGCUUUUAUGUCCCGAUCUCUUUAAUAAGGUCGCCCGGGCUCUUCACCGUAGAACCUUUACCCGAAAAACUGGAGCACUGCUAUACUUUCAUUGCUUUCACUAGAACCCUUUCAUUGCUUUCACUAGAACCAGAGUGUUAGGGGCACGUGUUUAGCCCGAGCUCUUCCUUUGUGUCCCUCCUAGCGAACCGAACGGGGAAAGCUUUUCCCUCACUCGCAUUCGCCUAAUCGAGCAGAAGGCCAGGCAACUCGCCGAUCAUCCUCAAACUGGUCCCGCCUAUAGUUAAUAGUGUCGAACACACAUAAGUAUAGGUUUUGUUGUCCUUACGACGGUUGUAAAAGACCGUAUCUUUACACUAAAUACUCUGAUAGGGUCGCGAAGUGCAACGCCUCAUAGAACAAUUCCGUAAUGUAUCCAUACGAGCUCCGGCCCUCAGCUGCUCGAAUCAAAAAGAAACUUGUUCAUUUAUGUUACGCGUUGUAGACCUUCAAUGUUUCACCUUUCAUAGAUAUAUAUAGGAAAGGCUUGGUUUGGGAAGUGUAGUUGAGGCUGGGCACGUGCGAUAAGUAAUAAAGAAAGAAAGCAAAGGUAAAUCAUCCUUGGGACCGGCUUUGUUGAGGUCGCGAAAGUAAACAUGCGGACUCAGCCGUCCUUUUUCUGGACAGGAACCAUGUUGGCUAACCAUUGGGGGUAUUCCGUAACUACAAUCAAUCCUGUCUUUAGCUGCUUCUAUACUGACUCUUGGAUUUGGAACGUCCAUUCGGGCCUCAUUCUCUUCUCCUCACGUUUCUGCUUGACUGUCUUGGCUUUCUGUAUCGACUCUCCUCCUUCCUGCUGUCUUGGUUAAUACUUUCGUAGUAGUAUUUGUGCGUGGUUGAUUGAAUAUUGAUUUCCUUGUUCACGUUCUUUGUUCGACUGGACAUCUUAAGUGUGGUGGUAGCUCUAACUACGGAAGUGACAAAUGCGUAAAGGCGAGAUGGAUUGUUUCGUCUUCUCUUUUCGUCGAAGGGCAUUUGGCGAUAGGGAACCCACUUAUAUACUUGGCCGGAGCAUGUUUCGGCGCGUGCUUCUGCCUGUUCACGUUCUCUCACCCACUUUAGACCCUGUUUGGUUUCCGUGAGUUAUCGUUCUAUUUCCUGGAACCUGAGUAGCCAGGUUGCGAGCUCCUCUUUAGAGUUCACUGAGGAUGCCCGCGCAAGGAGUUCGUCAAUACCACUCUUUAGGGAGUCGACCUUCUCGAAUAAGUCCUCUUUGACAUGGUUGACUUAGGAUGGGUCCUUCCCACAAUAGGGAUUGUGUGGCCCCGAAGAGGGACCCGCUGCGCUAGUUUACCCACUCUUUAGGAUCGGAGCCGGUUUCCUCCUCUGUACCAUCACAACAGUAUGAGACGGUAAGGGGAAGAAAAAAGGGUAGCCCAAACCACCAAAGGAGGGAAUUUCGCUCAAAACUAAGAACAAGGAAAGGAGGACUACCACAUAUAGACCCAUUCCCGAGCACGGUCAUUGUCUCUUUCGCUUUUCUACCUUGUUCCGUUGUGUUUGCUACAAUGAAGGCAUAUCGUUUGGUAUUCCAGUAUAUAAAUGAGACUACCUUCUGGGCUUUGUCGAAUCCCUUUGACAAGGAUCCGCCACUUUACGUCUUCGGUUGAGGCCAGAACGCCAUUCCUAGCUGGGCCUUCGCGGCGUCCAGACGAGAGAUAACCUAGUGCAAAAGCCCUGAAACUACCUAAAUAUAUAAUGUAUCACUACACUAAUCUAUUUAUAUCGCUUAGGUGCGCUAAGUUUUCUUGGCUUGGAAAGUCCCUCGGUAACUCCAUUCUUUUUAAGGCCGGUUUAGUUAUCACGGGCGCCAAAGAAAAGAGUAUUGUAUUGCUGCCUUUCUCUUUGCUAGAGAGGUAGUGGGACUGGUUAACAAAAUAUGGAUGCCGGUAAACUUCACUUUGAUGAAAGCUGUGCUCCGUAGCCCGGGCUUACUAGGGUUAUCUAGUCACUGAUUCCAAAGUUAUGAAAUUAUGGUGUCAUUGAAAUGGACCCUCCUAAGCAACCUGUUCACCUAAAAUCCGUUCUCAUAGUGGAGAGAUUCUUUGCCCGAUAGCAGAGAUCUCGCCAAGCAUAGCCCAUUCUAGUUCUAGCACCGGAAGAGCCAUUUCUUAGGAAUCCAAAAUAUCCAAAUAUAAUGAAAGAUAUAUGAAAGGAGAAUUGAGCACUCGUGUUAGCCGAAGCAGUAGGAUAAGACUCAAUAGGCAAUUAUCGUGCGCCAGGGUAAACUUCCAUUGUUGGGAAAGACACACCAUACCUUUGCUCGAACAACCACUUCUUUUGUUCCUACUCCGCGGGUAUAGAAUUCUGUAAAUACCACUGCUUCCCUAUCUUUCUCUUUAGCAUCUGAUCCAGCAUCUUAAACAAGAACAGGAACUGGCCUGCUUGCACCAACAUUUUCAUCCGGGUAACAAUAAGUGGAAUUACAAACAAUAGGCAUAUGAGCGGAUCUCUAUUCUUAACCUCGAACAUCACACCUUGCAGCUUACUUUCGAACAGCAGAUUAUGGAUACCGUGACUUUUCUUUGGCCCUUUCACUAGAGAUUGGAUUUGGCCGACCUCGACUCUAACUCUCAUUGCGCGGCUUCUUAUCUUUGCACCUCUAGUAUAUCCUAUAGUUUACACCUCUAGUAUAUCCUCUUGUAUAUAAGUGUAUAGCUUAACCUCUCAUGAUAUUACCUGCUUAAAUACUCAAUCAACAAGCUUCGCUUCCUUGCCCCAGCACCUACUACUGUAACAGACUUUCGAGCAACACCAUCUAGGGCAGCUUCUUAUCUGUAAACUGGAUACUUAAAGAGCAACUCAAGACCGAUCUCCUAUACAAAGUGACAACAUUCUAUAAUACCUGGCGGGCACUCGACCUCAACUAUGGCUCUGUCAACUAACUACUACUGAGAAAACUGCUGACCUUGUCUCUCUCUCCUCUGGACUAGCUUGCCCCCGAGACUUCUUAUAUAGGCCCGACCUCUCUAGCCCGAACUAAACUUUAUGACCUGACCCGACCUCUCAUAAGUAAGCUGCUUUUCUAGUUUCAUCCCCAACCAGUGGAGUAGUCCAGACUUAAUAGGCCAGGUUCCUUCUUUCAUUCUAGUUUCAUCCCGGCCAAGUCACUAAGGGCCAAGUAAUUACUAUACAAGACACGACUAACCCAAAAGAACUGGAAUUGAGACUUCCUUGUUAACUACUUGAAAGCAGGUAUGAUCUAGCGCAUUACCCUAUGGUUCUCUUGCCCAUGUUUUCUACUUGCAAAUGCAUUCUUUCUAAUCGCCAAGAUGUUUUUCUAAGUAUUUCCCAUAAAACUCCAUUAAGUUGUGAUUUAGUGCAUUUCCUCCUAUCAUCUUUAUGGUUCCAUUCUUUAGGAUUCCCUUGCCCACCGAUACUGUCACUACUGAGGUGUAUUCUUUACUUCACUACUAGAUGCUAUGUACUAGCUGACUAGCUCACCUACUGACUACUUCCAUUCUAACUUUCCUACUUAUGAGAUUCUAGGUCAAUUCUGUAACUCGUUCGGACUCUCUGAUUCUGUGACUACUGAGGUCAAUUCUUUCAUUCACUACAGGUGGUGCACUGUUUCGUUCUUUCCCUACCGGAGUGCCUUAUAGUAAGUUGCCAGAGGGUCAGUCAAUCUUAUAGGCGGAAAUUCAUUAUAAGGACAGUUGAUUAGUUUCAUGGUCAAUUCCCUAGUUAAACCCUUACGUCUACUCUUAUUGCCAGGAAAGCUGGGUUUAGCUACAGCAACUGGUACUUUUACUGGUAGAUCAGCAACUACAAGUCCUGUGUGAGCCUUUCCAGGGUAGUCAAUCCUCGGUAGUAAACAAGUCAGAAUGCAGGUAUCAAACUACUGAUCUCAAGUCUUGUGUUGUUGGCGCAGGGCAAGAAUCUAUUAUAAGGAAAGGACUCUCAAUCAAGUGUGCAAGCCUAUACCUAUCAAUAAGGAAGGUGUUGCUAUAAGUGACCUAUCAAUAAGGAAGGUGUUGCUAUAAGUGAAUCGGGUGUUCCUGCCUAAACUAAAAGAUCCGCAUUAGCAGUAGGAUCCGAAAGAGGGCGAGAAGCAGAGGCUCUUAUUAGUUGUUUCGCUAACGAAGGAUAAGAGUGUCAGUCAAUUCCUGGAGUGGAAAUAGAGAUAGAAGUUCAUACUUGAUAGCCUGUUCCCCGCUCUUUCUCGAACGCGAGUGGAAAUAGAAAUAGAUUAAUUUGUAGUUGACUCGGUGCUUACGGUAUAGUUUCCUUUACCAAGUCCUGUCCCCUUAAGUAAUUGGUUCGUCGACUCAUAUAAUUAUGGUUAGUUGUAGUUAUGACCAAAGAAAGAUCGGAAGCAAGAUCAGGUAAGGAAGCAGUAUGCAGUCAGUCAGCAAACGGGUCUUCAAGGGGCAAGUUCCAUGGAGUCAUUUGUGGAAAGUGGAGUUAUCGUUUCAUUCAAGAGAAAGAGAAGAAUCAAAUAAGAGUGUUGGCUUCCUUACUUUACCAGAGCCUGUAGUUUCUCAUUCCAUUAGAAAUUGAGUAUUUGUAGCCAGAGGUAUGUAUAGGAGCCUCAUUGAGUUAUACAAGUAAGUGAUUAAGUCGUCAGCAGCAAGUAAAGAAGCUAGUUCUUAAUCAAGAAACCAGAUUGAAACUCUACCGUCAGCAGAAGCAACAGGUCUGUAUUUCAGGGAUAGAUCUAUCGCAUUAGUGGCUAAGUGAACUACUCUAUUUGUCGCGCCUAAGCUUGGUUAUACGUGACUUGGCCGGGGACGGUCGAGGAAAUGCAAAUGGGCAGAACUCACUCGCCUUACUUCUUGGGUGCUAACGGAGAAGGAGUGGGGUCUUGAAAAGGGCUCUGGCUCUGUACCAUAGAAUUGGCCCUGCCCAGUACCUUAGAUCAUUCUUUUACAGUUAUAUCAUUCUUUGACAGAUUAUAAUAGUAUCAUUCUUUGACAGAUUAAUAGAAUAAUGGAAUAAUAGUGACUAAGAUUAUAACAGUGACUUGCCUCUCUCUUCUCUGGCUACUCAUACUGAUUCUACUACUUGUCAACUUAAGAAGGGACUUUAGCUAUAGAUUAGGACUUGUUAACAACGCAUAUCUUAUAUUAGUUCCUUGCCUUCUAUGUGUUUGUAGUAGUUCCUUGGCCAAUAUUCCACUCGAACAGGAACAGUACUACUACUACCGGGAUGCAACUAUUAGCCCACCAACCCAGUAUUCUUUAUUGCGCCCACCUCUCAUAACAAUACUUUCGAACUGGAACAGGCAAUUAUUUAGCUUCAUAGCAAAUCUCUCCUUUCAAACUAGAAUCUCUCUUUCCGAUCUAAACUCUCACAGCUGCUGACUUUAGAACAGGAACAGGAGAAGGAUCGGCUCCUAUACUAGUAUACGCUUGGUCCCGUGUUUUUUCAUAGCAAAUGGAGAAAUGACUUUACUUUUAUUCGGAUGGAAGUAAACUCUAUUCUACUCUUUGGACUACUCCUUUCAGGGGCUGUAAACAAGGGCUACUACUAGUUUCGUUGGGGAUUCUACUAACAACUACUGAUGAAACAGGACCACUCUACUACCAGUAUUCAACAAGAACAGGAGUAAGAGCACCCCCAACUUAUUUAUGAGCAUGAGCAACGCGCUUCAAAGCCAGCACCUGAUCUAUAUUCUGUUCCUAUCAGUAAGGGCAAAAACUGGAUUAGUAGUUGAUUGGCCUGUAACUCCGUGUACAUAGUCCAUUCGGAGUCUACUGAGUGGAAUUCUUUCCCUGACUACUUGCAUUCUGACUUUGCUACUUCUGAGGUUGUCUCUUACUGCACUACUGGUUAGUUUCAUUCUGUUGAGUAGUGGCGAACACCUGUUACUACUAAGUUCAAUGUAAAGACUGGUUGGCUGUGGUUGCAUUCUGUGACUUAGGAGUGGAAUUCUGAUCUUAGCAGCUAUAGUAUUGGAUUCACUGGUUGAAGUCUUAAGUAGCUAUAUAAGAUGCCUUGUUGUUACUGGUCUAGAUGCACUUGUUUCGUUCUGUGACUCCCUAGUUCCAUUCCUUAACUCCUUACUUGUGAGUUCCAUUCGGGGGUCUCUAAUUCUGACUUGAACUACUGAGUUGCCCUCUGUUACUGACUAGUUGAAGUUCCAGAGUCCGGAGAAAGUACCAAUUCCUUGAGUUUAAGACCGCUCCCUUAGUGACAGUAUGAUUACUCCUCUUAUGUAUCGAGGUAGACAAUUGUGAUAUAAGAUGAAAUCCUAUCCUACUAACACAUAACUUGAUACUUUACCUCAUCUCUAUCCUACUAAACUACACUGUAAACUUCACCUCGAACAAGAUCUUUUCUUUUCUCUUUACCCUAAAACAGAGGCGCUAUAUGCGCUUCAACACCCACUAACCUGCCCUCGUAUUGUCAUUCUACUAUAGGCUAUAUUAGUUUGAUUGAUAGGCAAUAGGUAGUUAGACUAUAUUAGUUUGAUUGAUAGGCGCAUCUAUUCUACGAGUCACACAGAAACGGCACCAAUUUCUAUCCAAUAUCCAUUAGAUUCUAUAUACCCUACGCGGCACCCACAUCUAUUACAUUAAUUACACCAACUUAUUAUGCCCUCACUAACUAGGCACCGCUAAUAGAUUGAUUCCAUAGACCCACUCAUGCUAGGCAUAGGCAAGAGAACGGAUGUCAAUAAAGAUGGAUUUGAAGAAAUGUACCCAUAUCGAAGUGUUACUAAGAUCUGAUCUAUCAUGAACAAAUGUACCCAUAUCGAAGUGUUACUAAGAUCUAUCAAACCUGGCUAAUGAUCCUCUGGAAACUGAAACUCGCUCGGGAUGAAACGAGAAAUUGCACUCCUCAUAUAAUAAAGAGAAAAGAGAAAACUCGGGGCACUCAAGAAAGAGAAAAGAUGAAACUCGGGGCACUCACUACUACUAAUGCACCUCGGGGCACUCACUACUACUAAACCGAGGAAAACAACAGCAGACUUAACUAUUCCAGCACUCGUUCCUUCCAGCCAAGCAGGUAUUGCAAAUUGUAAGAAACCUUGAACGGGAUCAAGCAAGCCCCCGAAACAAGAGAAACCAGAAAAGAGUUUAUCCCCGACCCGACCGAAGAAGUCUCUACCUUAUCUAACUAACUAAGAUCUUUUCUCUCGACUAAAGUAAGUAAGUAGUAGUUCUGGGUAGCUGAACCCACCAACAAAUAUAGAUGAAACUACUGAGUUGCCCUAUAUGCAGGCCUAGUAACAGACUGAGGGCUUAAGAAUUCCGAAUAACCUAUCUCUCUCCUCGGAUCUAGCCUCUGAUCUUGCUCAUCUAGCUAUGUAAACUAAUACUGUUAUGGCUCUUUGACUACUUACUCCGGGUGUUCCUGUGUUCGUUGGUAAUAUGAGUGGAAUUCAGAGACUUACUGGGGGAAUUGUGACUUUCCCACUAGCUCACCUCUUUACUACUUGCCUACUAGCUCAUCUAGCCUACCAGCUCCACUCUUUGACUACCCUGUUUCAGUCUGAGCCUUCUCCUUGCUAUACCUGUUUCGUUCUGCCAUUGCUGAGUGGAAUUCCGAUCUACCACCCCCGCGGCCUCAGGCUUGCUUGUUAGUGGGUUGGCUCUGAGUGGGCACUGCUUUGAGUCUUGCUCGUCCUAUAGGUCGAUUCUGUAACUACCUGGUUGCAUUCUAAAACUACCUGGGCUAAUUCUGAUCUGUCUUACCGCAACGAAGACAUCUGGUCAUAGGUAUCAUUCUUUCACUGACUUGUUUCAUGCCUUGGCUUACUGAUUGAAUUCUUAGACACCCGAGUUUCAUCCUAUCAGUCAUCCUAUAUAUAGAAUAGUAGUAAUUGAGUAGGGGACAAGCCAACAAAGGUGAUCGAUUGACUACUUGCUUAACACAAGCAUCUGAGCCUAGUAACUUCAUUAAACAAGUAAGUCCACCACCCUAGCAACUUUACAAGAGCUACAGCACCAAACCAAACCUAGCAACUAACUACAAAGCUUGGCCCUUCCCGCUACACCUCUUUCUCUGUCAACUAAGUAUGGGCCUUAUCCCGCUUCGGCAUCUGAUAUGGUUCCUACUCCCACACACUGUACUUGCUCUAGACUAAAGGUAGAGAAGAGAGUUUACUUACCGGUAGUGCACUAAAGAAUAGAGUUUCCUUUUUAAAGCAAAGGCCAGGGCAGGGUAAGAAGGAUCCAACUUUGAAUUGAAGAAUCUCAUAUAGAAUAGAAUUCGUUUCAAUAGCCAGAGAGAUUAGGGAAAACAGGCUUCGUCGGCAACUCGGGAUUCUAAUUAGAUACAAGGGAAAGGUCUUCAACUAGCCAAUCUACUACUACAAAGGCAUAAAUAGAGCAGAGCCAGAUCCCACCAGUAGUAUUAGCUACAGCCCUAAGAAACAGGGUAGUGAAUUCUUCAAGCUUCAAGUAAGGAGCAACCAAGCAACAGUUGCAAGAGGAGUUCAAGGCUUUACCGCUUUACUAUUUAUUUCUGGAACUAGAGCUAGUAUUGAUUCCUAUGAUUUCCUGUUUACAGUGGAGAAUUGCCAGGCCAGUGCUUUUGUUGUAGACGAGCGCAUCCAGUAGUUGACUUAGAAUGAAACCUAUCGGAUACAGAAUGCAAUUCCAAGGAAAGAAACGGGGAAUUCACUAGUGCACAAAUAGACUCAAACAAAUAAUACAAGAUACCGGUCUCUAACUACAAUGCCGAUGGAGCUAGUAUAAGCCUGAAACACUGCACUAACCACUUGAACUUACUUACAGCCGCUACACACGAACAAAGGACUUGGUUAUAACCAUGUUAUAACUACUUAUUGCUAGCUGCCGCUUUUCAGCUCGCUGACGCGACACAUUAGUAGUGUCUUGGCCAGAUCUUCCCAUGCUAUUCUUAUUGUCUGCCUCCCAUCUCUUCCUCUGAUCUUGCUCCACUGAUCUAACUGCUUCCCUUGCAAGACCCAGCAAAUACAGAUGAAAGUCCACCACCCGACCCGAGUUAAGUCUGCCUAGACACCGUAUAAGGCUUGAAACAGAGACCCGAGCUACCCAGCAACAGGCUUGGAUGCAGUGGUUGUAGAAUCAAUACCAAUAGCAACAGUCUGCCCAGCAAUGGUUCAAGCCUAUCGCUACCACUACCAAGUCUAUCACUACCAGCAACCAGCUAUCACUGCCACUACCCGGUAUCAGUCCCAUACUACUACUACACCGCAUCAGCCUGCCACUCCAUAGGUCCAUUCUUAACCUUAUACUCUCUAGUUUGAUCUGUAAUCCUAUAAUAUGAUAUAUAAGGAUUUAGGAGUGGGCCAAGUAUACAAAUAUUCUAGAUUUCUUCUAAGCUUAACACAAGCCACUAAACCCUAGUAAUAGGAAGGAAACAAGUAAUUCCACUCGCCAACCUACCCUGUGCUACCAUUCCUCAAAUCUUACCUUUCUACUCACACUCGAGCAGUCUCUUUGAACUCAGGCUUGGCUCAUUGGUUUCAGAAUUCAUAUCAUCUCUUGCCUCUCCUCUAGCUCUGUCAACAAAUACUUCUUGAAACACUCUUACAGCAGCUGCUCCUCUCCUGUAUCUCAAACAAACCUGUGCCCUUAAUUAAUGCGCCUCUGCUCUGGCUCAUCUCCACUAGCAGCUGUCAACUAAUUCCGUAAUUCCUCCACAGACCUAGACUCUGGCUUGGCUCUGUCAACUCACUACUCCUCUGUAAACUAAUAGAGAUGAGACUACUACAAAUACAGAUGAAACAUGCUCGGCUCUGUCAACUAACCAUACUCUGGCAACUUCCAACUAUUCUCUCCUUCCCGCUUCAAAGCCUCCAACAAGUAAUGACUUUUGUUUAGCGUGAGUAAGGGGCAACUGAUCCAACUCCAUCUGCUUACUUUGGCACUGAAUUACUAACCGACACAAUCACUUCUCGUGCAUAAACUUAAGGUUUCAAAACAGGGAAUGUCCUAAGAAUUCAUUUCAUCUUUUGAUCAGCGAGGGCCAGACUGAAUUUCGAACUCCUUAGACAGGGGAGCUACCAUUUCAUCUUGCUUGUUUGAAAUGAAUCGAAACUAAACGAGAUACUUGACUUUAGCCGGGACUUCUUUCAAGCAGGGUAGCAGCGAUUGACUUCUUUCUUGUGCUUGUAAAGUAUAGGUUCCUUGCGAGCAAGUAAGUCUUAUUCCACUCGGGAUGAAACAAUAAAAGAAAGAGACUCCGCUCAAGCAUCCAAUCUAUCUUGAAACUGGAUACCCUGGUUUGAUUCUAAUUAAAACUCACUGACGCCACAAAGACGGGUAAACUCAGGAAUUGCACUCGCUCACUACUCGCAGGAAUAGAAUGAACCACCUGGCUAUCAGUCAAGCUACUAGUCAAUUCCAUUCUUAUGUGCCAAGUCCUGUGUUCGGUUCCCCUAAUUAAUGCCCUAGAGAUAUGGGUUUCAAAUUCACUAUUUCAUAACUUCUGUAGUUUUAUGUGAAAUGACCUAGGAGGAGAGCAAACCCGCAGGAAAUUGCAUAAAAAGGGGCUUUUAUAGAGCACUUCAUAUAGUAUGUGUUACUUCCUUUAAGAAGAGGGGCCAAGCAGCUACUAGGUUUGAUACUCCAAUAUAAGUAAGGCAACGAGAACGGUCACUUGACAAAGAAUCAGAGGAAGGGGAGUCGGAUAGCCUCUAUAUUGAGUGGAACAGGCGUAGUCAUAGUUUCUUUGGCUCCAAGGUAUCAAACAAAAGAUCUAAAGUAUCAGGACUACUAUUAACAGAAUGGAAUGCGCUACCAAUAUUGCUAGUUGAAGGGCGGAUACAGGACUUGUUCUUAACUCGGGUUUCUUGCUCUAGCGGGGUUUCUUUCUCUAGGCAGGGCAGCUUUAUAGAUGCCUUUGAUGCGAGGUAUCUUCUAGCAAUAACAGUGCUACCGGGACUACAACUACUCUCAUUCAAAAGAACAGAAAUCUACUUGUCACCGGCAAGCUACUACACUUUCAUAACUGACCUCCACUUGGACCACAACCCGCUGAAGUGGAACUAAUCCAGAAUUAACACCUAUGUAUCUGUAACUACCUAUGUAUCUGUAACUACCUAUGUAUCUGUAACUAAUACUGUAAGUACUACUGCCCUACCACACCCCUGUGACUUUAUACUUCACCUAAGCAUUCGAUUAGCAUUUUGAUUACUUAUACGAGAACAAAGGUCAAGCGCAAAGAACAGAACGGGAAAUCUACUUCAAGAGAUACCUUUGAGCGUAAGCGGGACCGGGACAAUAAGUGCUUUCUUUUCACAGCGCUAACAGAGCCACUUAUAUAUCUGCCGAGUCUACUUUUAGGGAGCUGCGUGGGCAGUUGAGAAAAGACAUUUCAAAUCAAUUCCCCUUUCUUUAUAUACUUUUUGGAUGCAACAAGGGAUUCACCUGGAACAGUAACUGGCCCGGACUCAUUUCAUUCAUAACUAAAUAACAGUUUGGUGCUCUAGCUCCUUAAAUAACAGUUUGGUGCUCUAGCUCCUAGUAGUAGAGUUGAGUAGAUAACUUAUUCCCUACGCAGAACCCCCUAUAGCUAGACAAAGACACUCUCGACAAAGAAUUCCACUAGCUCUCUAAACAACUGGCAAAGAAUUCCACUGACCCGAGUCAACUAAGAAUGAAACUCGUAUGUAUAAGAAUGCAACCACUACAAACAAGAAUACAACUAUCAACUCUCCACUACUGGCAAAUCAUUCCACUAGCGACUCUCAACUACGGGCAAUGAAUUCUACUAUCAACUCUCACAUCUCACAGCAGCUUACUUAGCGGUUACUACUGACUAACUCCGAUACUAAUAGUUCAAUACCGGCUAUCUAUCCUUAUUUGAACUUUCCUUUACUCUCUACCGACACUUACAAAUAAUACUGAUCGCUAUGAAGGUCUUCCCCGGCUUCCUCACCAAAGCCAACAACAAGAGCAGUACUGGCUCAGGGAUUACACUCGGGAUUACACUCGAGCAAGACCUUGCAGACCCAACUAAGACUGAUUAAGGAAUGGUUUUCACGAAGUAUAUGUUUCAUUAUUGACUACCCUUGACAUGUUCUAUAUUUAAUAUCUAGGACAGGGCAGGUUCUCUCUCGGGCUAUUUGACUAGAUCUACUUAUCUCCUUCUUUUGCUUCAUCAGAUCCUUCUUUUGCUUAAAAGCCAGUAAGUCUGAUCUCAUAGCGUAAACUCGCGCCAAUAACAGAUUGACUUAGGGCAUCCAAGCUUGAGUGAAGGUCCGUUCAUAAAGUGGAGUUCUUGCCCCUUCCAGUAGUGUAGCCAGAGUUUGAUGAGAUAGUUAGAUGAGAUUCAAGUUUUCCUUCCCAUUGCCUGAUAGCUGUGGUAGAGUGACUUAGUUUGGGUGUGUGGUGCAGGUCAGAGGUCAGAUUUCCAAGAAAGGGAUGCCCUAGAUAGAGAUUGGUAACCAACCAGGCCAAGGAGUAGCGGGACCAAGAGAAAAGAAUUAGAUGACCCAGGUGCUUAAGAAGGAAUUGAUUCUUCCCAAAAGCCAACACCACCACUAGCCACUUCAACAAUAACUGGAAAUCAAUCUACUUCAGUACUAAGUAUUCAGUACUAAGUAAAGUGAAGGCAACAAUCCAAGUAAAGGCAAUCAAGACGACAAGCAACCACAGUGGUCCAAGUCAUCUAUGUGAGGAUGCAGGGUACAGGGUUGGCAAGAAAUAGAGAAGAUAGGUCAAUUCUUAUUAAACUAAGGUAUAAGCCUUAUUGUUUCCAUGGCCUACCUCCGGAACUGCUUCCCUUAACCACCCAGCUGGUUACUAAUACUGUUAUUGCUCCUAUAUACUUCUUGCUACUGUUGCUUGGUUGCUCUUAAUUCUUCAAUUCCAAUGAAAUGAAUUCUGUAUCUUAUCUUUAUAUAUAGGAGAACGGAUUCAAUUAAAGUAGGUUAUGAAACCCCCUUUGUAUAGGCUCCAAUACUGUAGUUACUUUUAUGCUUGUAGGCUGGGCCGGUUCGAGCUCGAGUAGAGUAUAUUUCUGUUCUUGUUUGAUCUUUAUAAGGAAGCAUAAGAAGGAAAGUAGACGAGCUAGAGAGAAUAAGCUGUUAGAGUUUCGGGUGCAGUUCCCAACGAAUAAGACAAGCUGCUUUAAUAUUACGGGCAUAUAAGGUAUUUAAUGAAACAACUAACUCAGUAGUUCAAGUCAGAAUCCCACUCAAGCAGGAGGCAGUGGAGAACUAUAGCUCAUCUAACUCGCUAAGACCUUGAAAACAUAGCAACAAAUAAACGUGGCCAAGACACUCAGAGACGUAAACAAGUAAUAAAUUGUUAUACGGAUAAAACUCAUUCACAAAGAUACUCUAAGCCAACAAACAUGGAUUCCACUUAUUAUAAAGAAGAAGAAAGUGAGCGUCGACAAGCAAUGUAUACAAAUAUUGAUGGGUUUACCCUUUCUUCAAGGGAUUCCACCCCAACUGAAGGAUACUCGUCUACAACAACAGUACCGGAUUCUAUUUCUUCCCUUGCCGACCUUUCCCUUCUGUAUAAGUUUUUCAUUCAAUCUAUCUCUUGCGCCGAUCAAUCACCUCUCUUGGUUCCUUUCCUUCUUUAGAAUUUAGUGUACUACUAUAAUAAUUUCAUAAGUAAGGGUGAACGGGCAGGUCUAGUGGAAGUCCUGGGUUGAUUAAAUAAAGGGAUCCUUUUGUCUACUAUAGUAGUUGCUGCUUGUCCCGCCUGUCCGCUUGUCGGCUUGAGGUCGUAGAAAGGCUUUCCCUCCUUUGACACGUUAAGGGUAUCAAAGAUGUUCUAGCUUUCUUGGACUCAAAAUAAGGGGGUUAAUUGCUUCCUUUACAUUAAGGGCGCUUCAGAUGGAAGGGACAGUAGGUCAGGUCUAGUUUUCAGAAUAAGGAGCUGGAUCAGAUCGGAUAAAAUAAUCUUAUAAAGAAAGAAGCAGAGACAGAAAUACACUUAAUGGCGAAAGUGUCCUCUGUCGGCAACUAAACUAUCAUUCUGACUUGCGGAAUUCUUAUCCUAGGAGUUUGACUUUAUUCUUUAAUAACUAUAGAUUGUAUGGCUCCUCCACCCCAGGCAACGGGCAACAAUUCUAUACUUCCUGACCGCUUCUACUUGAGUUAGAUGACCCGACCUCUUCUACUGGCUACAAUACUAUACUUCAGGACACCACGCUGAAAAGCCAGUACUUGCUUCUGUUACGCGGCAGUGUGCUCGGAAACAACUAACUCAGAUAUCAGAAUGGAAAUAUACUUGAAGUUCCUCUCCUUCCCGGACAUUCCCUUCCCGCUUUAAGCUUAAACCGAUUAUUCCCCAAAGCCAACCUCUUAUCUCGUUGCCAAUGCUAUUAACUUAAGGGCUAGAGUGGAUUUCUAUUCUUUACUUUCCAUUUGUAGUUUAGUCUCCUUGGUAACCUAUCUCUAUUAUCCCUCUUGUCUUACUCGGAUCCUUCUCUUGAAACUAAUACAAAGAAUUGUCUUACUCGGAUGGAUCCUUCUUUUGAAACUAAUACAAAGAAUUGUCUUACUCGGAUGGAUCCUUCUUUUGAAACUAAUUCAAUGACUGGGGGCAGGAGUUCGGGCCUCAUUCCUUAGUCCUAAUUUCUUGUUCUUCACUCUUUUUUAUCUCCUCUCGCUCUACCUAGAAGUGGUUUCAUAAGAUUUCGUAAGAGAAGUUGUUUCUAAAGAUGGGUUCCUCCCUUUGCUUUUUGUCCCUUUAGCUAGUGUUUCUAUACCUAUACAAUGCCAAAAAGAAAGCGGAGGUUGUCGCUCGGUAGCUCCCGCUCCUCUUGAGAAAAAUACUGAUGAAACUAGGGUCGGUAUGAAACUAAUUCCCCAAGUAGUAGCUUGGCAGUUGCUGACGCCAUGUCUUCUUUCUUGCUCUAGUCGUGACUUGGCCCGGACUCUUCUCUUUCAAUUCCAAAGUCAGAAGUCAUCUCGAAAGUAAUAUAAUACUAAAGAAUCCACUGUGCCAGGAAAGGAAACUAUACAGACUUGCUAAUAACUCUAGGAAACUUCACUUGCUAGCUCAGCUCCUGCCGCUAGUGUUCCUAGGCAAGUCGACUCGACAUCGAACAGGGAUGGGCAGAAUUCGGGAGAAGGAAUACAGAAUGGAAGGAGUGGUAGAAAACCCCGGAAUACUGAAUGGAAAGAACUAUCCAAAUAUCUCUUCUUAGUAAGGAGAAAGUGGAGAAAGAUCUUCUUAGUAAGGAGAAAGUGGAGAAAGAGGGAAGUCCUGUCUUCGUAGAUGUUUUCACGGGCAAUAACAAGUGCGUCAGUGGCUGGGUCUGUCCUGUAUGAAGUAAAGUCUAUUAUAUAAGCUUAUAUAAGCUGAAUAGAAAGUAAUAGAACUGAUGAAACAGCCAAUCUCUAUCCUGAAGCAGGGCCCUUACUAAUCAUUUUUAUACUCGCUCGCCCACCUAGUGCUCUUAACCAACCGUGUCGUGUGCUCUUUCUUAUAUUAGAGUAUGAUCCUCAAGUACGAUAUAGCGCAAGUCAGAAAAUCCAGUAGUAAUACAGAAAUAUAAAGAAGAAGAAUAUUCGCCUUGCUUGUUUGCUCUUAACCUGCUAUGUAUUCAACAAUUCAAUUCGGACUUUCCUGUUGCAUUCUCAUGCUCUUCACUCAAAUUAGGAAAUUUUACUAAUAACUCGCCCCCCUUUUUUACAAGUAAGGGUGCACCACCAAGUAAGUUAUCCGUCUUUCUAACUAGCAAUGGCUUUCGCACUGCUUCCACUGAGUUAUAACCAGACAAGCUACUACCGAUACUGCACUGUCCACAACUCCCUUUCUUUCCGCUUACUGUUGAUAACGUUGAUUCUGCUUCUAUAUUGGAUGAAACUCAAACUUCGAUUGCGGACUUAGACACAAGCACUCGAACCUCCCCCACCCGCCUAGAAGCCUAUAUUGUAGGAAUAAGUAGCUCACUGACCUCAGACUUUAGCGCGUUCCUGCGCAUUAAAAAGAAUAUUCCUCAAUGAGAAAACGGAACUACUUACUCUCGCCAUUAACAUAAGGGCAGCUUACUUGUUCACCGAUACCAUAACCCUAUGCCUCUGCCUUUAGUUAGUAUAGUCAAGUAAUUGGGGUUCGUCUGCACUCGCACUCUUCGGCAUCUAUCUUAUCUUUCCACUAAAGAUUCUCCUGCGACACCACCAGACUUGAGAAAGGAAACAGCUCUUUCAUCUUAUCGGACUACUGGAACAGUUCUUGUUCUUAUGUUUGAUACCUUCAUUGCCGGUGUGAUUCUUACGUGUUAUACCUUCCGUAGGAGUCCGCUUGCCUACUUGCUAUGUGCUCGACUGAUUCAACCUGACUUCCGGAGUUGGAGAUAAGAUCUGAUGCUGCCGAGUCGGGGGCAG
rnacentral:lncRNA from 1 species